rnacentral:rRNA from 1 species
AUUGAACGCUGGCGGCAUGCCUUACACAUGCAAGUCGAACGGCAGCACGGGGGCAACCCUGGUGGCGAGUGGCGAACGGGUGAGUAAUACAUCGGAACGUGCCCUGAAGUGGGGGAUAACGUAGCGAAAGUUACGCUAAUACCGCAUAUUCUGUGAGCAGGAAAGCAGGGGAUCGCAAGACCUUGCGCUUUAGGAGCGGCCGAUGUCGGAUUAGCUAGUUGGUGAGGUAAAGGCUCACCAAGGCGACGAUCCGUAGCGGGUCUGAGAGGAUGAUCCGCCACACUGGGACUGAGACACGGCCCAGACUCCUACGGGAGGCAGCAGUGGGGAAUAUUGCGCAAUGGGCGAAAGCCUGACGCAGCCACGCCGCGUGAGCGAUGAAGGCCUUCGGGUCGUAAAGCUCUGUGGGGAGAGGACGAAGAAAGACCCGUGAAGAGACGGGCCGUUGACGGUAGUCUCCUUAGCAAGCACCGGCUAACUCCGUGCCAGCAGCCGCGG